CUUAGCUUGCUAAGUUUGAUGGCGACCGGCGCACGGGUGAGUAACACGUAUCCCACCUGCCGAUGACUCGGGGAUAGCCUUUCGAAAGAAAGAUUAAUACCCGAUGGCAUAGUUCUUCCGCAUGGUAGAACUAUUAAAGAAUUUCGGUCAUCGAUGGGGAUGCGUUCCAUUAGGUUGUUGGCGGGGUAACGGCCCACCAAGCCUUCGAUGGAUAGGGGUUCUGAGAGGAAGGUCCCCCACAUUGGAACUGAGACACGGUCCAAACUCCUACGGGAGGCAGCAGUGAGGAAUAUUGGUCAAUGGACGAGAGUCUGAACCAGCCAAGUAGCGUGAAGGAUGACUGCCCUAUGGGUUGUAAACUUCUUUUAUAAGGGAAUAAAGUGAGGGACGUGUCCCUUUUUGUAUGUACCUUAUGAAUAAGGAUCGGCUAACUCCGUGCCAGCAGCCGCGGUAAUACGGAGGAUCCAAGCGUUAUCCGGAUUUAUUGGGUUUAAAGGGAGCGUAGGUUGACCUAUAAGUCAGCUGUGAAAGUUUACGGCUCAACCGUGAAAUUGCAGUUGAUACUGUAUGUCUUGAGUGUACAAGAGGUGGGCGGAAUUCGUGGUGUAGCGGUGAAAUGCUUAGAUAUCACGAAGAACUCCGAUUG
rnacentral:rRNA from 1 species